GCCUUCGUGGUGUAAUGGCCAGCACACUCGCCGCGUAUUGGAGAGGUCCGAGGUUCGAAUCCCGGUGAAGGCA
rfam:Stegodyphus mimosarum contig105424, whole genome shotgun sequence.